UACGGGGGGGGCAAGCGUUGUUCGGAAUUACUGGGCGUAAAGGGCUCGUAGGCGGCCAACUAAGUCAGACGUGAAAUCCCUCGGCUUAACCGGGGAACUGCAUCUGAUACUGGAUGGCUUGAGUUCGGGAGAGGGAUGCGGAAUUCCAGGUGUAGCGGUGAAAUGCGUAGAGAUCCGGAAGAACACCGGUGGCGAAGGCGGCCUGCUGGGCAGUUGCUGACACUGAGGCGCGACAGCGUGGGGAGCAAACAGG
rnacentral:rRNA from 1 species